AAUGGAUUCAAAGAGGGGGAGUAAAGCCGCUGGACCAAGGCAAAGUCCCUAGCAGCUGAGUGCUGCGUGGUUUAGAGGGGAGCAGCCUGGGUGUUGUGAUUUGGAUCUGAUGCAGUGUGUAUGUGUAACCCCUGUCUGCUCGGUGUGGCGUGCUGUCCCCCUCUGUGGUAGCUAGACCAGCUAGAGAGGCUCAUGCAUUAAGGUCCCGCGGUCUCAGGUUUGCUCCCAGCCACUGCCACCCGGGGUCUGUCAGCAUUACACUUGCACUGUGGCUGCCCACCAAACUUACAUGUGCAGCACUGGGACCAGGGCUCUCUGCUCUCACCCUCACAGAUGCAGGCCAUUACCUAGUGAGAUAAAGGGCCCAGUGCACUAACAUGCACUCAGCAUGCAAGUUCUCACCAAUGAGGGCACUCUGCAAGAAGGCAUCUUCCCUGCGGCAUGAACUGGCGCGGUCCGUGCGUGGGAGCUCACAGGAAAUGGAACUCAGUGCGGUGGUGUUAUACAAGAACUGAUUCUGGGUUGAGUCAUUCAAGCUGGGGUGUACUCUGUCCUGUUGGGGACAGCCGGUGUGGUACAACUGUGCGCUUAGUGGGUGGCUAACAGAGUGGAGGUAUCCAGGAGCUGACGCCCAGUUAAGCACAAGCAAUUGUCCCUCUCGCUCAAGGUGGCGGUUGGGGGAACAAGUCGACUCACAGCCCUGGGCAUCCUGAGAACCCAUCACACUCCUUGAGACUCUCACCAUGAAGAGUUUAACGUCCUAUUGAAUGAGGAGGGUCCCGGUUGUAUUUCUAUCUUAAACUCGAUUUAAAUCCACAGAUGAUGUGCUUGAGAAGAGGAGAUGGUAAAAUGCAGAAUGCCCUUGGGAGGAAGCGGAUGUGUUUGCAUUAUCUAUGGCAAGGGGCUUUGUCACGAUAUGUAUUGUGUUUGGAGAAUUUCGUAUGCAGUGAUGGAGCAGAGAAGACACCAACCAGUGGAUAUAUGGAUGCAUUUCAAGCACUAUUUGUCACAACCUGGCACCGGACCCCUCUCUGGACAGACACCGGUCUGUUGUGAGUGGACCCAACUGCUGGAUCCCACAAGCUUCUGAGCCCCUGGGCUCUGACUGUUCCCCGUUCCUAGCUCUGGACCUCUCGGGCACACUCCCAGUUACAGCCAGCAGAAGAGACUCUUGUGAUUCCUCCCAGACCAACUGAGAUUGUGACCAGAGAGUCGGUGCAUUCCCCAGGGGGAGACUGAGACCAUGAUGAGAAGCCUGCUGCUUCUAUUGGCUUUUGCUGUGCUUGCUGCAGCCACCAUGGCUAGGCCCACCAGGCCGGAGUUGCUGGCUGUGGAAGAUCUGGGCGCAGUAGGACCACAUGCCAGAACAAUAACCCAGGAGAAUGGAUUCCAGACACUGCUGAAGGGAGGAAGAGUGCGGAGGUCUGGGAAGGGGAAAAAGAAGGGCAGGUGGAACGCAGGCUCUCUCACCGUUCUUGGAGCAGCCGUACCCAAAGGCUGGAGACGACGAGGCAGCAUCUCGGCCAAGGAGUAGGUGGCCAUCCUGCUAGCCACGUUCCCUUGGUCUUGAAAGCUCUUGCGGGUGAUGGGAGGGAGUCAGGGAAGAGCCCCUCCUACUCCAGCUGCCCCAGGCCUUAGUGGAAGGCAUGCUUUAUGAUGGCUAUGUGAGGAUGAGGUUGUCUGUUCCUCCUAGAUGCUGCUGGGCUCAGGCCAUGACUAGCCUCAGUGCUGCCUGGGACAUGGAAAAACAAUCGUCUUUUUUCUGUAAUGGAAUAAAA